rnacentral:rRNA from 1 species
AAUUGGAGGGCAAGUCUGGUGCCAGCAGCCGCGGUAAUUCCAGCUCCAAUAGCGUAUAUUAAAGUUGUUGCAGUUAAAAAGCUCGUAGUUGAAUUUCGGGGUCAGUAGGUUGGUCGUGCCACAGGUAUGAACUGGCCUCACUGAUUCCUCCUUCCUGAUGAACCGUAAUGCCAUUAAUUUGGUGUUGCGGGGAGACUGGACUGUUACUUUGAAAAAAUUAGAGUGUUUAAAGCAGGCUAACGCUUGAAUACAUUAGCAUGGAAUAAUGAAAUAGGACGUUCGGUCUUAUUUUGUUGGUUUCUAAGAUUGACGUAAUGAUUAAUAGGGAUAGUUGGGGGCAUUAGUAUUCAAUUGUCAGAGGUGAAAUUCUUGGAUUUAUUGAAGACUAACUACUGCGAAAGCAUUUGCCAAGGAUGUUUUCAUUAAUCAAGAACGAAAGUUAGGGGAUCGAAGACGAUCAGAUACCGUCGUAGUCUUAACCAUAAACUAUGCCGACUAGGGAUCGGAUGAUGUUAAUUUUUUAAUGACUCAUUCGGCGCCUUACGGGAAACCAAAGUGU